UAAGACGAACCGUGCGAACGUUGUUCGGAAUCACUGGGCUUAAAGGGCGCGUAGGCGGGCAUUCAAGUCCGGGGUGAAAGCCCCCAGCUCAACUGGGGAAGUGCCUUGGAAACUGGAUGUCUCGAGGGAGGUAGGGGCAUGUGGAACUUCGGGUGGAGCGGUGAAAUGCGUUGAUAUCCGAAGGAACGCCGGUGGCGAAAGCGACGUGCUGGAUCUCUUCUGACGCUGAGGCGCGAAAGCUAGGGGAGCAAACGGGAUUAGAUACCCCGGUAGUCCUAGCCCUAAACGAUGGGUACUAGAUUGCGGACUUAACAUGGGUUCGCAGUCGAAGCAAAAGUGGUAAGUACCCCGCCUGGGGAGUAUGGUCGCAAGGCUG
rnacentral:rRNA from 1 species